CAGUAGCCGCGGUAAUACGUAGGUGGCAAGCGUUGUCCGGAAUUAUUGGGCGUAAAGGGCUCGCAGGCGGUUUCUUAAGUCUGAUGUGAAAGCCCCCGGCUCAACCGGGGAGGGUCAUUGGAAACUGGGAAACUUGAGUGCAGAAGAGGAGAGUGGAAUUCCACGUGUAGCGGUGAAAUGCGUAGAGAUGUGGAGGAACACCAGUGGCGAAGGCGACUCUCUGGUCUGUAACUGACGCUGAGGAGCGAAAGCGUGGGAGCGAACAGGAUUAGAUACCCGAGUAGUCCCUGUCUCUUAUACA
rnacentral:rRNA from 1 species